ensembl:lncRNA
CCUGAGCUCGCUCCCUACCCCCCCCCCGCAACCCCCGUCUGCCACCACUCCCUCAGCCUCCGGGCUUUGGGUGUGGGGUGGAUAGUUGGUGCGGAAUCUACAGAAAAUCCACCUCUCCGGGUUUUACUAGCGGCAUGAGGAAGAAUAAGGAGGGUGUGCUGGGUGGCUGUCACCUACAAGCAUUUGUCUUCAGAUUCAGAAAAUCAUCCUUCAAUUACGUGGUCCUUAUACAAGAUUUGUGAAGAACUGAAGAUCUGCUGGGCUAGCCGGGACUAUCUGCCAGGAAGUGCUGCAGGGUGAAGGCUGGUAAAGGAUGACGCCUAAUCAUUCUUGCUUAACGGACUCCUAAUCUCUGCUUGCUUCUUCACCACCACUAAAACCAGAAGUGGGUUAGAGCCUCUGCAUCUCUAGGGCUCAUGCUGGGUACAGUAUCUAUUAUUAAACCAAGAAACAAGUUCAUCUCUGGAAAGAAGAAUUUGGCCCAAGCCCUCCUCCUCAGGGGCUCAUCCAUUGAGCAUGUACUCUUUGAAGCUCUGCUCCCCACUAGGGGGUUCCUGUGAAUGGAACAAGAUCCCUGCCUAAUGGGGGCCCAUAAGAAUGUGCUCUAGCUGUUAUUCCCAUCCAUGAUAUGCAGUGAAAUGCAGUCACACUGAUUUCACUAGUUUGAAGUUGUUUCCACUUCCUCUGUACUUGGGCACUUACCCUCACUGCAUUGCUUGGACUUUCUCAACCUGACUCAUCCACUUGGGAGUGAUGGAAACCCUGGAGCCAGAGGAAUGAAAACUACACUUGUGGCUGAGUCUUGCCGAAGAUCUGUGGUGUCAUAAAGAAGCAGACAGUAAUGGACCAGCAUAACUAGGCAAGGGCCUUUGUUGUUAUACAUUCUUUCAAAGCAUUAAAGUACUCGAAGAAAACGAAAGCUGGGAGCAUAUUGCUAACAUCAAAAGAGCAUCCGAGGAAUGCAGAAUUCCCGCUUUUGAGAAAGUGAUUUGGGCCCGACAUACAGGUCGAAAAAUCAAGAAAUGUUGCCAAAUAACAGACAACUCAUCUGCAAACACAAGAGUGCAUACUGGAAAUUGCUUGUAAAAUGAAAGCCAGCUGGCAUCACUAUAAAAAAGUCUUAGGAAAAAAGCCUCUUCAUCUAAUUCAUAAAUGGGAAAUUAAAUCUCCAGGCUUAACUGGCUCAGUUUUAUCUUUUUUUGUUUGUUUGAACUAUGCUUUGUUGGUUGAAUAACUGUGACAACAUUGAGACAGUUUGUGAGUAAAGCCAGGGGUGAUCUUUUAUAAAUAGUGUUAUAACUACUUCUCAAGAAAAGCCUUAGAUAAUACCAUGCCUGAACCCUUUGUGGAUGGUGCAGCCUCAGGCCAGUACAGUUGAUAAGCAGCAGAGGAAAUCUUCUGCCUAACUUAUGAGAUAUGUGUGUGCCUUCUGUGAAUAUAUAAUUAUAUGAUUAUAUAUACAGUAUACACACAAUCAGCAUUUAUUCCCAUACUCUUUUAUACUCUCUUCAGUACCAUAAGGGAGAAUCCUUUACUUUCACUGGUAUAAUUUAUGUAGCCUAUAAAAUGUAUACAUGUAAGAUUCCAAAGGCAGAACAGAAACUCAGUGAAUCUAUAUAUUAAAAAAUAAGAAUUUCUUUGGAAUAUAAAUAAUAUUUUCCCUGAUUUAUUGAUUUGGUAAGUCUAGAAUUGUAAAGAGAGUGCCCUGUUUGUUUAGUGUUUGGUGCAAUGAUUGAAUCUUUCAUUGAACAAAAAAGUGAAUGAAUCUUUUCUUCCUCCCUUUUGGGUUUACUUCUUAUAUGACACUGAGAGACUGAGCACAGUAUUUUGAGAUAGAUGACAAGGCAGUCACCUUUGAGUGGUACAGAUUUAGUAGCAACGGUAGAGUGUCUUAUUACAAUAUCUUUAGAGUAUGCCAUCCAAAAGUUCUCCCUCUGUGCCCUUAUGAUGAAAUCAAGAGAAUCAGGACUGAAGAUGCUGAUGGGGAGGGGAGGCAAGUGUGAGGAGGACAGCUUGUUUUCAUUUGAUCAAACAGCACUAGACUUGCAAAAAAGCAGUUGUAUUACUGAACAAUGUGAUGAUUCUCCCCAUGAAUCAUCCAAUAACCUCCAAGAAGCAUUCAAUCUGUCAAACUCUCAACAAGAUCUAGCUUUUGAUAAACAUAUUUACUUUAAUAGCAGUUCCUGAGAUGAAAGGUUCAGAUUUAUGGCUCCUAAUCUCUAUAACCUGAAAAUAUGAAAUAACUUCCCAGGAAGCUGCCUUGAAAAACUAUUCAAUUAAGCAAGAAUUACACUAGAAUCUUCUUUUUGGUUAAGACAUAUAAUGUUACUCAUUGAUUAAUCUCUUAUUCCUAAAAAUGAUGUAAAGAGGCUGGCUAUAUUAUACAUUGAAAAAUUCUGCCUGUUGGCCUAAUAUAAAAUGAGGAACUGUCCAAGAUGAACCCUAAGAUAUCUUCCAAAUCACAUCUUUUAUGAUACAAUUUCUGGGAGUCUGCCUCUCAAUAUUUUAUAACCAGGGGCCACACUAAGAUGAAACCUUAAUAAGAUUCCUCAUGUGGGGUAUAGAUAGAUCUUGGUUCAUCUUAGACUCUACCUGGUAUUUGCACUGUAGUGUUUCUGAAGUGUGCACAUAUCCACAGAGUGAUGUAAAUUUAAUUCCCUGGCAAAUUAGAUGACAAAGAUUUGUUUUCUGUUCUUGUGAUUAACUGGAUGAAUUUGGCAAAAGGUUAUCACUCAGUGGCAUAAAUUUAGUUAUGGGGAUGUUUAACUACAAUUUCUAUAUUAUAUGAAUUCUAAAAUUAGAUUUGAUGGGAAGGGAAGAUGGUUAAAAGGAUAGUAUAAUUUUCAAAUAGUAAAACCAGCAUUUGACCUGUGAGAAGGCAAUUCUAGUCUUAUUGAACAAUAUAGACUUUCUUCCCUGACUGACAGAUAUCCUUUUAAAGGCAAAGGUUCUCAAUUUUUUGAGAACUUUUAAUUAAUUAAGAUUAUUGGUACAUUUUAGGUUUACAUAAUGAUCACAUUGAUCACAGGGAGUUUGUACCUGUACAUGAUAUAUCUUGCUUCUUAUUUUUUCCCAUUCCCCUUCCUUCCCUUCAUCCUCUCCAUCCCUCCUUAUUUGCAAAAGCUUUGUUUCCAUUUUUCCUUCUUUUUUCAUUUUUUUCUUUCCUUUCCUUUCUUUCCCCAGGCCUCUCCCUAGUUCCCCUUCUCCUUUGAACAUUUUCAUCCUAUUUCACAAUAUCUAUUAUACAUUUUGG